CUAAUCAGUAAUCAAGUUUCAACUGUGACAGAAACUUUGUUCGUGCACUACUAAAACAUUUUUAGCUAACAUUUUUAGAUUUCCACCAACCAAAAUGGCAAACGAAGAAGAACCGCAACAAAAACUAAUCAUUACGAAUUCUUCGAAAAUUUACGAAGAUAUGGCACCUUAUUACUUGAAGGAAACAUUUUCCGACAUUCAGAUAAUCCUAUCCGAUAAGACCAUUCAUGCGCACAAAAUUGUUCUCGCUGCUAGAUGCAAAUAUUUUGAGUCCCUUUUAAUGCAAGAUCCAAAACAAGCCCAGAUUGAAGUAAUAAACGCGCCCUCAAAUGCUUUUGAAACAAUACUGUAUUACAUUUAUACAGGGACCGUUGUCAUCGCAUCACUAGAUGAGAAAUAUGUGUCCGAUAUAUUGAAGCUAGCACACGAAUAUUCGUUAAAAACACUGGUACAAAUUAUAAACGAAAAAAUGGUUUCGAUUGUAGAUUUAACGAAUGUUUGUUUCCUUCUAAAUAUAGCCAACACACAUGACAUGGACGAGUUAAGAGAAACGUGUCAUACUCUUGUCGAUGAACAUGUUUCGCAAACGUUUGAAUAUGGUUUUUUAAAUGUUCUCACACAAAAAUCUAUGGUUAACCUGUUGAAAAGAGAUGCGUUUCUAUUUGAUGAAAUCGAAGUUUUUAAUAUAGCGGCAAACUGGUGCAAAAUUAACAAAGACGUAGACAACUUGGUCAUCGGGUGCGUUCGAUUUCCUUGCUUAACGCGAAACGAAAUCUUAAAUGUUGUUCGGCCAUCCAAAAUUGUAGAUGACGCAAAACUGCUGAAUGUUCUUACAACGAUUGAAAAUAACGGUACACAAAAAACACUACGCUUUGGUGGACAGUUAAAAGAUAAAAAUCUUGCUAGAGCAGAAUAUAAUGUUAAAGUAGUUUCUGGAUUAAAUACUACUAUGUUGUUUGAAGAAUCUAGAAAUUCGAAUGAUGGCGCUUAUCACAAUAGGAAUGAUAAAAACGGUAUCACUGUGGAUCUUGGUCAAGUAAAAUGCUUCAAUUACAUAACGAUGUGUAUAGUAAAUUACCGUACCGGUUAUUACAUUGAGGUGUCAACAGAUUUACAAAAAUGGAAAAAAGUUAUAGAUUACACCACAUACAGUUGUUAUUCUAGGCAAAACUUGUAUUUUGAACAACAAAAGACUAGAUACAUUCGAGUAGUAAUGGACAUGGGUCAUUCAGCCAGAAUUUGUAUGUUUCAAGUUUUCAUGAGCAGUACAGUACCUAAAAUGCGUAACCAAAUUGUUUAUCCUUCUUCCAACAUUAUAACUUCGCAAACCAGGAUAUGGAUCAUGUAAGAUAUUUUAUCCAUUAGUAUGUUUACAUUUUCCCCUUUUCACUUCAAUCAAUUUUCGGUAAAACCCAUGUGGGCUAGUUAAUUUUACCACUCCUUUUGUCAGUUUGACAUGCAUACAUGACACAAUUUUAAGAAGCAAAAUAUAGCAAAACAUUUUUUUAACUCUGAAAAUAUUAAAGUAAGUAUGAGCUUAAUCCCUAUUUUUAGAACAUUCAACCUCCUUCGUGAAAAAAAUUAAAUGUCAACUUGUUUGAAUUAUUGUCGUAAAAUAUUUUACAAAAAUGUAAACAAUACUCGAUGCGUCGAAUAUAAACACCACUAAAAAAUUAAACAAAUGAUGUUUUAAAUGAAGAAAAGAAGUUUAAUAUCUUAUGCUAUACGUAAGAAAUUCCAAUGUCUACAUUAAUAUCAUUAUAACUACUUUGGAAUUUCGUACUUACAAUGCAUUCAUGUGUGUUUUUUAAAAGGGAACAUAGAAAUUAAGCCCGUAUUUACUUUCAUAUGUUCAAAGUUAAAAAAAUAUCUCGGAAUAUGAACAUACAGUUAGAGCAAAUAAAAACAGUUACAUGCUGAAACUAUGCCAUGAUUGUGUACAUUAUAAGUGGAAUUAGAGCAUUACUAUCCACAAAUGUGAAGUUUGUUCACAAUGAUGUAAAAUAUAUAUGAGCCGAAUUCCUUGGACACACGAGUGCGAUAACAAUGCGUUAGCCCACAUAAAACACCUAGGAUUUGAUCUGCACCUUCAAGUUUUUUUUAAAUUGAUUUAAAUAAACGAAAAAUAUUUUUACUUGUGAAGAGAAAUGAAUCUUAACAAAAUUUCACUAAUUUGAAUGAGAUAAGUCAAAUUUAUCUCAAUAUUAAAGACAAAAACAGUUUUCAAUUCUUUUUUUGUUUAUCA